GAUGAACGCUGGCGGCGUGCCUAAUACAUGCAAGUCGAGCGAACAGACGAUGAGCUUGCUCCUCUGACGUUAGCGGCGGACGUGUGAGUAACACGUGGAUAACCUACCUAUAAGACUGGGAUAACUUCGGGAAACCGGAGCUAAUACCGGAUAAUAUAUUGAACCGCAUGGUUCAAUAGUGAAAGACGGCUUUGCUGUCACUUAUAGAUGGAUCCGCGCCGCAUUAGCUAGUUGGUAAGGUAACGGCUUACCAAGGCGACGAUGCGUAGCCGACGUGAGAGGGUGAUAGGCCACACGAGAACUGAGCCAGCGUCCAGAGUACUACGGGAGGCCGCAGUAGGGAAUGUGCGGCAGUGGGCGAAAGCCUGGCGGAGCAACGCCGCGUGAGUGAUGAAGGUCUUCGGUUCGUAAAGCUCUGUUAUUAGGGAAGAACCAAUGUGUAAGGAAAUAUGCACGUCUUGACGGUACCUAAUCAGAAAGCCACGGCUAACUACGUG
rnacentral:rRNA from 1 species